GCUGCCUUAUUGAGGUUGUCUUGCACUUUUUCCAGCAUUUCCUGUUGAUUUCGGACAAACCAAUAGGUUGCUGGACAGAUUCUCUCAGAUUUCUGCAAGGCAACUUUUUGAGGGAUAAGUGGUUGUCGUCCAGUCGCCAACUCAAAAGGACUGAAUUCUGUUGCAGAAGACCGAUGAAGAUUGUAGCAAAAUUGAGCGGUGCCUAAUAGAUUCAGCCAAUUUCUUUGGCUGGCUAUCACAUAGUGCCUGAGAUACUCCUUCAGUAGAGUAUUCACCCUCUCCGUCUGACCAUCAGUUU
rnacentral:lncRNA from 1 species